UACGAAGGGGGGCUAGCGUUGUUCGGAAUUACUGGGCGUAAAGCGCACGUAGGCGGAUUUGUAAGUCAGGGGUGAAAUCCCCGGGGCUCAACCUCGGAACUGCCUUUGAUACUGCAAGUCUCGAGUCCGAUAGAGGUGAGUGGAAUUCCUAGUGUAGAGGUGAAAUUCGUAGAUAUUAGGGAAGAACACCAGUGGCGAAGGCGGCUCACUGGAUCGGUACUGACGCUGAGGUGCGAAAGCGUGGGGAGCAAACAGG
rnacentral:rRNA from 1 species